UAUAAUCAAUUGUUGUUGUUUUUGUUCGAUUCUGGUUGUAGUGGUGUUUUGUUGUACUUCACUAUAGAUGUUAGGUUGAUAGUGAUAUUCUUAAAAGUUAAACUCGUCUUGUACAUCACGUUCUGUGAUUAUGUGUAAUUGAAUUUGAAACAAAAGAAGUAGGCUUACAAGUUAACAUAAAAAAUGAAGAAAUAACAAUUAGUUGGUAGUUGUAACGUAAUAAUUCCAAAAAAUGCCAGUUAACACGUACACCUUUAUUAACGCUUAAAUCGCUAAUUUCAAAUUCAGUGCAUGUAGAUGUUAUUGUUAUACUAAAACUCGAUAAUUGCCAAAGUAAAAGAAAAAGAAAUGCCUUAUUCCUAUUGUAUUGCAAUUUUAAUUUAAUUAUUUGCGAGUUGUCUGUAAAUUAUAUAUUAUAAACCAACGUGAAGAUUAUAUAAAUAAUAAACCCAUAAGGCAGAUGACGUUCAGUUCAAACUUCAAUACGCAUAGACAUUAAGAUGAAUGUAUCUUCAGUGGUACAGAAAAAUUCAUUCAAAACUGAGCAAGUUCUACCAUGCUCUAGUUCAAGUAAGCACCGCAAGUUUCCUUCAACAAAAGUGAAAUACAAAAAUGAGGUGAUAAAUCAGAUAGACCAGUUAAUUUGCCAGCAAACUUCAUCAGUAUCAGCAUUAAGGUUGUCGGCCCUAUUCAGCCAGUCAACUACCUAUUGUACAAUGAAAUCAACAGUAAAUUUCUUGACCCACAAUGAGUCCAGGCAGGUUGAACAACUUUUAAAAGAUGAUGACAACUUCACAAUUAACAGGAGGAUAUAAAGGAAGAUUAAGGACAUUUGUAUUCAAAAUAAAUGCAUUAUUUGAAAUGAAAUUUAUGUAAACUAAAAUUUGACUUUUGUUAUUGCUGUUGUCUAAAUGACUUGGAACAUUCCUGUCUAGUUUGUUUUCAAAUUGUAUUUUAUUGAUGAUAUUCAUGAUUGUUCAAAUAAAUUCAAAGCACAGACAA
rnacentral:misc_RNA from 1 species